CUCUCUGGAGAAUCUCAUUCCGUAUGAGUGCCGAAGGUGCAAGGCGAACGCCGAAUCUCUCAGGCAAAAGGACAGAGGA
rnacentral:ncRNA from 1 species